GAUGAACGCUGGCGGCGUGCCUAACACAUGCGAGUCGAGCGCAGGAAAUCGACGGAACCCUUCGGGGGGAAGUCGACGGAAUGAGCGGCGGACGGGUGAGUAACACGUAAAGAACCUGCCCUCAGGUCUGGGAUAACCACGAGAAAUCGGGGCUAAUACCGGAUGGGUCAUCGGACCGCAUGGUCCGAGGAUGAAAGGCGCUUCGGCGUCGCCUGGGGAUGGCUUUGCGGUGCAUUAGCUAGUUGGUGGGGUAAUGGCCCACCAAGGCGACGAUGCAUAGCCGAGCUGAGAGGGUGAUCGGCCACACUGGGACUGAGACACGGCCCAGACUCCUACGGGAGGCAGCAGUAGGGAAUCUUCCACAAUGGACGAAAGUCUGAUGGGGCAACGCCGCGUGAACGAUGAAGGCCUUCGGGUCGUAAAGUUCUGUUGUAAGGGAAGAACAAGUGCCGCAGGCAAUGGCGGCACCUUGACGGUACCUUGCGAGAAAGCCACGGCUAACUACGUGCCAGCCGCCGCGGUAA
rnacentral:rRNA from 1 species